rnacentral:rRNA from 1 species
UACGUAGGGACCAAGCGUUGUUCGGAUUUACUGGGCGUAAAGGGCGCGUAGGCGGCGUGACAAGUCACUUGUGAAAUCUCUGAGCUUAACUCAGAACGGCCAAGUGAAACUGUUGUGCUAGAGUGCAGAAGGGGCAAUCGGAAUUCUUGGUGUAGCGGUGAAAUGCGUAGAUAUCAGGAGGAACACCGGUGGCGAAGGCGGGGUCUCUGGGCCGAUAUCGACGCUGGAGGAGCGAAAGCGUGGGGAGCGAACAGG